rnacentral:rRNA from 1 species
CGCCAGCCUGACGGAGCCAGACCGCGUGGGGGAGGAAGGCCCUUGGGUUGUAAACCCCUUUUCUCAGGGAAGAAACCUGACGGUACCUGAGGAAAAAGCCUCGGCUAACUCCGUGCCAGCAGCCGCGGUAAUACGGAGGAGGCAAGCGUUAUUCGGAAUUAUUGGGCGUAAAGCGUCCGCAGGGGGCUCAUCAAGUCUGCUGUCAAAGGUCGGAGCUCAACUCCGGUUCGGCAGUGGAAACUGGUGGGCUAGAGGGCGACAGGGGUAGAGGGAAUUCCCAGUGUAGCGGUGAAAUGCGUAGAUAUUGGGAAGAACACCGGUGGCGAAAGCGCUUUGCUGGACCGAACCUGACGCUGAGGGACGAAAGCUAGGGGAGCG